ACGAGUUAAUGGAAGAAAAAGAAGAAGAAGAACUUGAAAGAGACAAACAAUAGAAUUAUGUGACGAUGCAGUCUUAUAUGGAAGCGGACACACUUGCAAGAGGUACAAGUUAAUGGAAGAGAAAGAAGAAGAAGAAAUUGGAAGAGACAAACAAUAGAAUUAUUGCAAUGAAACGACGGGCAAUGAAUGCGAAGAAGUAUUUAAAUACAUCAUCACUAGAAAUAUUAAUUGGUAUUACUGAUAUUUCUACAAAAAUAUCUAA
rnacentral:lncRNA from 1 species